CGGCCAUCCACCAGGACGAUGCUGACAGCCAAAGAAAGCUCCUUCCCCACCGCUGACAGCCAAAACCGCUCUUGUGCUCAUCAAGGUUAGUCAAUGUAUAGGACUGCGCUUUUGUGUGUCCUUUCCUUCAAGCUGUCAUUCAGGAGAAGAGAGGAGCGAGGCCUCGAUCCAGACUCAGGAGGAGGAGGAGACGAGGAGCAACACCUAUUUUUAUUGUCCGUCAAGCCCCAUUAUACUUUGCGGUUCCAGCCACCUGAUCACUAACCUGAAUGAGUAAGUAGACCAUUAUAUAUGAUGGUCUUGCUUCCUUUUGUGAUCAUGUAUCUAUGUUAGAUCCGGUGA